rnacentral:lncRNA from 1 species
GUCGGUCAUAAGGGACUCGGUGGAGGUGACUGACACCAGCUGGACCUUGACAUGGGUGGGAGACAGUUGAUGAAGAGAAAGAAAGUGCAUCCGGGUGAAAAUGCUCAAGGGCAGAAAUGGCUGCACGAUAGGUACAGGAAAUCCUGCGGCUGCUUGAAGUGUGAUCUAACACUGAGUGAUCUAACAGAGAUGGAGAAGGAGAAUCGAGCCUGAGGAGGAAGGGCGAGCAGCCAUGAGAUGACACCUUCUGAGACUGAGAGAUGGGUACACAGUCUUCAUUUUGCAACCCUGCCCAGGAGCACAUUCCAGGUUUUCACGAAAACUGGCACUUUUGUUUCCUUUUGGAGUUAACUUUUAGGGUAAGCUGUCUGCCUGUGCAGUAUGCUUGCAAACAUAACUGGAAUAUUCUUUUGAAUUUAUCUCUCAAUAAAAUGUCUUCCAACCACCC